AAAAUAUGAAUAUACAUACAACCCCCUCAUCCAAUUCUUAGAACUGUUGCCAACUAUCUGCUCCUCGUCUUUCAAGGCAACAAGGUAUCCAAUUCUUUGACGAUGACACACCGAAGAGUAAAGGUUGUUACCAUCCUUAAUUUGUGUACCCUUAAAUAGAUAUAUAUGUAUAUAUAAACGACCAAUGGGUGAAAUCAUGUGUCUACAUAUAAAGACUAGAGGUUACAAGUUCAAAAUGACAAAUAGUUAGUUGUAGUAUGAGCUUUAAGUUAACUAAUGUGUGUUUAUUAUUUGUUUUAUAGGUCGUUUAUCUGGAUAUAAUGUUUUAAUACUUAAAGCUCAUACUGCAACUAACUAUUAUGUUGGAUCAAAUUCAAUUUCUCCAUUUGUCAUUUUGAACUUGUAACCUCUAGUCUUCAUGUGUGGACACAUGAUUUCACCCAUUGGUCGUUUAUAUAGUUUAAGUUAAACAAAUUAAGGAUGGUAACAACCUUUACUUUUCAGCGUGUCAUCGUCAAAGAAUUAGAUACCUUGUUGGCUUGAAAGACGAGGAGCAGGAUAGUUGGCAACAGUUCAAAGAAUUGGAUGAGGGAGUUGUAUGUAUAUUCAUAUUUUGAUAUGUUUCUACUCAUUUGUAUUUGAAUGUGUUUUUAUGUAUAUGCGUUUCUUUAUGUUUAUGGCAGUCUCUACUUUCUACACUUUCUUUACCGAAUAGUUGAAGCAAGAAAAAAGCCAAUUAGACUCGAGUAUUCAAUUGUAAAAAUUGCUGACGACUUUGUCGUUUACGUCUUUAAUGAGUCGUAUAAAACGGUAUGAGUUUCAUUUCACCUAUUUUCGAGAUUUUAGAUUAGGAAAUUUUAUCACUGAUUAAUCAUCUGUCAUCGUAUAUAAACAGAUUUUUUGUUGUUGUUAUAGCUUGCCAAGGAGCAACAUGUUAUCCUUUAGGAGUAUGAAAUUAUGGAGUUCAAAUAUAUAAAAGUAACCGGGAGGUAUUACUUCUAUAUCAUCAUAGAAGCCAUUGGGCAAGGCAAUUUUGACGUCUAUGAAGCCAUAGUUGAGUUUGAGAGUGAUGAUGGUAGGAUAACAUUGCUCGUGUUUUUAGGUACCGGCACACACCCGUUGGUAUGUGAUUAUUUGGAAAAUCUUAUAAGAAGGCAUGUGUGUACUCUCUUUUGUAGUACUGUUUUCUAGAAUGUCAUUUUGGGACUAUAUGCAAGGUACCCCUUAAAGUCUUGUCGUUACAGCACCCUCCCAUAUAGUUUUUCUAAUUUUCUAUUUAUCAUUUUUUUCAUCUCGGAUCUACAGGUAAGAAGAAAGGCAUGAAAACAGCUGAGUUGAUUUGCCUGAAAAAGUACAACGAAAAUGCUGUAAAAGGGCUUCACAAAGUGCUACCUCGGGGCAUACUGUCACUCUUUCCACCAACUUGCAGUCGAACUAAUCGAGAUGGCUGGACUAAUUCAGGCAAAUAUACCGAGAUGGUGUGUAGGACGAAGGGAAGAUGGCACUACCUGUGGUUACGACUACUAUAACCCAUUGGUAGGAGGUUUAGACUUGGGCUUUGUGGUGUGAGCAGACAAGAACUCAUGAAUCUGGUAGUUGUGGGAUAGAACCAGAGGUAGAUUUUUGGUGAUAUUGGAUGGCCCUAGUAGUUCUAAACAAUGUCAACCUUCUUGAAUUUAAGCAUAAUUAUUAUACCUAAUUAAGCGCCGUGUAAUUUUAUACUUAAACAUGGGUCAUAUAUGCAAACGUAGUUACAAUUUGGUUACCCGUUAGAUUUGAAACUGUCAAUGUAUAUCUAUCUUUGCCUAAUUUUUGGAACUUGUUAGACCUACGAAA